GAUGAACGCUGGCGGCGUGCCUAAUACAUGCAAGUCGAGCGAACAGAUGAGGAGCUUGCUCCUCUGACGUUAGCGGCGGACGGGUGAGUAAAACGUGGAUAACCUACCUAUAAGACUGGGAUAACUUCGGGAAACCGGAGCUAAUACCGGAUAAUAUAUUGAACCGCAUGGUUCAAUAGUGAAAGACGGUUUUGCUGUCACUUAUAGAUGGAUCCGCGCCGCAUUAGCUAGUUGGUAAGGUAACGGCUUACCAAGGCAACGAUGCGUAGCCGACCUGAGAGGGUGAUCGGCCACACUGGAACUGAGACACGGUCCAGACUCCUACGGGAGGCAGCAGUAGGGAAUCUUCCGCAAUGGGCGAAAGCCUGACGGAGCAACGCCGCGUGAGUGAUGAAGGUCUUCGGAUCGUAAAACUCUGUUGUUAGGGAAGAACAAAUGUGUAAGUAACUAUGCACGUCUUGACGGUACCUAAUCAGAAAGCCACGGCUAACUACGUG
rnacentral:rRNA from 1 species